UGAGCAACCUGCCCUUAGCUCUGGGAUAACCCCGGGAAACCGGGGCUAAUAUCGGAUACGAGUCCGAGCGGCAUCACACGGACUGGAAAGUUUUUCGGCUAAGGAUGGGCUCGCGGCCUAUCAGCUUGUUGGUGGGGUAAUGGCCUACCAAGGCGACGACGGGUAGCCGGCCUGAGAGGGCGACCGGCCACACUGGGACUGAGACACGGCCCAGACUCCUACGGGGAGGCG
rnacentral:rRNA from 1 species